rnacentral:rRNA from 1 species
UAUUCACUUGUAAGUGUUUUUAACCGUACUGCAAACCGACACAGGUGACUAGGUAGAGAAUACCAAGGCGACUGAGAGAAGGGUAUUGAAGGAACUCGGCAAAAUGACUCUGUAACUUCGGGAGAAAGAGUACCUUUUUAUGCAUGAAAGCUAUUUAGAGUAAUAUCUAAAGGUUUGGACUAGCUGAAAAGGUGGCACAGAAUAGGGGGUAGCGACUGUUUAAUAAAAACACAGGACUCU